AUUGAACGCUGGCGGCAUGCCUUACACAUGCAAGUCGAACGGCAGCACGGGAGCAAUCCUGGUGGCGAGUGGCGAACGGGUGAGUAAUAUAUCGGAACGUGCCCAGUCGUGGGGGAUAACGUAGCGAAAGCUACGCUAAUACCGCAUACGAUCUAUGGAUGAAAGCGGGGGAUCGCAAGACCUCGCGCGAUUGGAGCGGCCGAUAUCAGAUUAGGUAGUUGGUGAGGUAAAGGCUCACCAAGCCGACGAUCUGUAGCUGGUCUGAGAGGACGACCAGCCACACUGGGACUGAGACACGGCCCAGACUCCUACGGGAGGCAGCAGUGGGGAAUUUUUGGACAAUGGGCGCAAAGCCUGAUCCAGCAAUAGCCGGCGUGCAGGAUGAAGGCCUC
rnacentral:rRNA from 1 species